UACGUAGGUGGCAAGCGUUGUCCGGAUUUAUUGGGUUUAAAGGGUGCGUAGGCGGUUCCAUAAGUCAGUGGUGAAAUACGGCAGCUCAACUGUCGAGGUGCCAUUGAUACUGCGGAACUUGAGUACUGAUGAGGUAGGCGGAAUUGACGGUGUAGCGGUGAAAUGCUUAGAUAUCGUCAAGAACACCGAUAGCGAAGGCAGCUUACCAAGCAGUAACUGACGCUGAGGCACGAAAGCGUGGGGAGCGAACAGG
rnacentral:rRNA from 1 species